GGUUCGAUUAUGGCUCAGAUUGAACGCUGGCGGGAUGCUUUAUGCAACGGCGUCGAACGGCGCUGGACUUCGGUCUGGUGGCGAGUGGCGAACGGGUGAGUAAUGUAUCGGAACGUGCCUAGUAGCGGGGGAUAACUACGCGAAAGCGUAGCUAAUGCCGCAUACGCCCUUCGGGGAAAGCGGGGGACCUUCGGGCCUCGCACUAUUAGAGCGGCCGAUAUCGGAUUAGCUAGUUGGUGGGGGUAACGGCUCACCAAGGCGACGAUCCGUAGCUGGUUUGAGAGGACGACCAGCCACACUGGGACUGAGACACGGCCCGAACUCCUACGGGAGGCAGCAGUGGGGAAUUUUGGACAAUGGGGGAAACCCUGAUCCAGCCAUCCGCGUGUGCGAUGAAGGCCUUCGGGUUGUAAAGCACUUUUGGCAGAAAGAAACGGCACGGGAUAAUACCCGAUGCAACUGACGGUACCUGCAGAAUAAGCACCGGCUAACUACGUGCCAGCAGCCGCGAUAAUACGUAAGUGCAAGCGUUAAUCGGAAUUACUGGGCGCUAAAGCGUGCGCGAGCGGUUCAGGAAAGAAGAUGUGAAAUCCCAGGCUUAACUUUGGAACUGCAUUUUUAACUACCGAGCUAGAGUGUGUCAGAGGGAGGUGGAAUUCCGCGUGUAGCAGUGAAAUGCGUAGAUAUGCGGAGGAACACCGAUGGCGAAGGCCUCCUGGGAUAACACUGACGCUCAUGCACGAAAGCGUGGGGAGCAAACAGGAUUAGAUACCCUGGUAGUCCACGCCCUAAACGAUGUCAACUAGCUGUUGGGGCCUUCGGGCCUUGGUAGCGCAGCCUAACGCGUGAAGUUGACCGCCUGGGGGUGAUACGGUCGCAAGAUUAAAACUCAAAGGAAUUGACGGGGACCCGCACAAGCGGUGGAUGAUGUGGAUUAAUUCGAUGCAACACGAAAAACCUUACCUACCCCUUGACAUGUACAGAUCCCAAAGAGUUUAGGAGUGCUCGCAAAGCCAGAACACAGGUGCUGCAUGGCUGUCGUCAGCUCGUGUCGUGAGAUGUUGGGUUAAGUCCCAUAACGAGCGCAACCCUUGUCAUUAGUUGCUACGAAGAAGGGCACUCUGUGAGACUGCCGGUGAUAAACCGGAGGAAGGUGGGGAUGACGUCAAGUCCUCAUGGCCCUUAUGGGUAGGGCUUCACACGUCAUACAAUGGUCGGGACAGAGGGUCGCCAACCCGCGAGGAGCCAAUCCGAAAACCCGAUCGGCGUAGUCCGGAUGUGCCGGUCUGCAACUCGACUGCAUGAAGUCCAGAUCGCUGGUAAUCGCGGAUCAGCAUGUCGCGGUGAAUACGUUCCCGGAGUCAUGGCACACACCGCCCGUCACACCAUGGAAUUGGGUUUUACCGAAGUAGUUAAUAUAACCGUAAGGAGGCGAUUACCACGGUAGGAUUCAUGACUGGGGUGAAGUCAGCAACAAAGGUAG
rnacentral:rRNA from 1 species